rnacentral:tRNA from 1 species
AUUUAUAUAGUUUAGGCAAAACAUUACAUUUUCACUGUAGAAAGGAACGUAAGUUCUGUAAAUA